UAUUUCCUACGGGGCGCAGCAGUGAGGAAUAUUGGUCAAUGGGCUUACGCCUGAACCAGCCAAGUCGCGUGAGGGAAGACUGCCCUAUGGGUUGUAAACCUCUUUUGUCAGGGAGCAACGCCGGCUACGUGUAGCAGGACUGAGAGUACCUGAAGAAAAAGCAUCGGCUAACUCCGCGCCAGCAGCCGCGGUAAUACGGAGGAUGCGAGCGUUAUCCGGGUUUAUUGGGUUUAAAGGGUGCGUAGGCGGAAUGCCAAGUCAGCGUAAAAUCGCGUG
rnacentral:rRNA from 1 species